UGUGGGUGGGACCACAUAAGGGAAUAAAAGCAGGCUGCCAGAGCUAGCAGUGGCAACCUGCUCAGUUUCUCUCUGCAGUGUGGAAGGUUUGUUCUUUUGCUGUUUGCGGUAAAUCUUGCUGCUGCUCACUGUUUUGGUUUGCAUUCCCUUUAUGAGCUGUGACACUCACCGCAAAGGUCUGCAGUUUCACUCCUGAGGCCAGUGCGACCACGAACCCACAGGGAGGAAUGAACAACUCCCGACAGGAGGAAUGAACAAUUCCAGACGCGCGCCGCCUUAAGAGCUGUAACACUCACCACGAAAGUCUGCAGCUUCACUCCUGAAGCUAGCAAGACCACGAACCCACUAGAAGGAAAAAACUCUGAACGCGUCUGAACAUCAGAAGGAGAAAACUUCGGACACACCGUCUUUAAGAACUGGAACACUUAUACCAUGAGGGUCUGCGGCUUCAUUCUUGAGCCAUUCAACAUAGUGCAUCAGAAGUGAUCUUUCAACACAUCCAGUACAUGAAUAAAUGAAAAACGCAAGUUACAAAACAUUACAGAGGUAAAAUCAUAAAUAUAGUCCCUGAAUUUCAUGGCCACCUGACCUUCACAUGAAGCUCAUAUUAAAGCCAUCUAUAGAGCAUGUUUUCCUGAAAACUUGACAACAUGCUCUGGCUAUCACACUGAAUCAGGGAGAAUGAGAGACACCUGGAGCAGAUCUUGACCUAACCUAUUGCUUUGAAGUGAGCCCAGCAGACAGCAGGCUAGGUCAGACACCUGGCUGAGCAGCCCAAAGACAA
rnacentral:lncRNA from 10 species